rnacentral:rRNA from 1 species
GUGGAUUAGAUACUCUGGUAGUCCAUGCCGUAAACGUUGGGCACUAGGUGUGGGUCUCAACCAACGAGAUCCGCGCCGUCGCUAACGCAUUAAGUGCCCCGCCUGGGGAGUACGGUCGCAAGACUAAAACUCAAAGGAAUUGACGGGGGCCCGCACAAGCAGCGGAGCGUGUUGCUUAAUUCGAUGCAACGCGAAGAACCUUACCUGGGUUUGACAUGUAGGGAAAAGCUCUAGAGAUAGGGUGUCCUUCGGGGCCUUACACAGGUGGUGCACGGCUGUCGACAACU